rnacentral:misc_RNA from 1 species
GAUGAAGAAUGUAGCGAAAUGCGAUAAGUAAUGUGAAUUGCAGAAUUCAGUGAAUCAUCGAAUCUUUGAACGCACAUUGCGCCCCCUGGUAUUCCGGGGGGCAUGCCUGUCCGAGCGUCAUUACAACCCUCAAGCUCAGCUUGGUGUUGGGCCCCGCCGCCCCGGCGGGCCCUAAAGUCAGUGGCGGUGCCGUCCGGCUCCGAGCGUAGUAAUUCUUCUCGCUCUGGAGGUCCGGUCGUGUGCUCGCCAGCAACCCCCAAUUUUUUUCAGGUUGACCUCGGAUCAGGUAGGGAUACCCGCUGAACUUAAGCAUAUCAAUAAGCGGAGGA